rnacentral:tRNA from 1 species
UGAAAGAUGGCUGAGUGGUUAAAGCAAUGGAUUGCUAAUCCAUCUUGUAUAUUACAAGCGUGGUUCGAAUCCCACUCUUUCCG